AAUCUAAGCUUGCGCCGUUCUCAGAGCUGAGCCGAGUCGCGGCGAUGGAGAAAGAGAAAGAGAGAGAGAAUGCUCGGAGACUCGGAAGUUAACGGAGUCAGAGAGCUGUGCACGAGGAGAGAGCGGUGAGAGAUGGCUCAUUCUUAUUUGUUGAUUUUUUUUCCUUCCAAUUAUUCCUUCUUUAUUUAUCGUUGUUUUGAUGACGUCAUUAUUAAUUUCAAA